UCACUCCCCAAUCAGUCACCAAUCAAUCAUCAAUCAGAAGACACACCUCCUAUUUCCAUUACCCUAUCACAUCCCAUGUCCCUUGGUUUAAAAACCCUGUCCCAUGUUUCCUCUAAAGCUCGAUCUCUUUGUGUCUCAAUCUCUCGGUAGUUCUGUUUGUUUUAGCAUCUCCAGAUCACUUUGUACCCAUCUGGAUUCAGUGGUGACUGGCCCCAAUACACUGCAGUGACCUUUAUGACCAAGACAACUGGAACCAGAAGAAAGAAAUGAAAGAACAGGGGGAGCAUCCAAUCGGUCAACCAUUUUAAGUUGCAACCUGACAGAAACAAGCAAUCUUUUUUUUUACAUACAUUAGUUUGUUUUCUUUAGUUUAAAGGGGUGUUACUAACCAAUCAUGUAUACAGUGUGGCUUGUGCUUUCUUGUUUCUUUUAUUUCUGAAAUUAAGUGUGAAUGCAUGUGCAGUAUGUUUAAUUAGUCCAUUUCAAAGAGUUGAACUUUGAUGACAAUUGUAUAAAUCAACUUUAAUUUUUUUUUUUAAAUAACAUGAAUCAGACUAUGUUUAAUGAUAAAGUGAUUUGAUGAUCCUACACAGUCCUACUGGUACAUGCUGGUGAGUUACAGCUAUAAUCACGCUGCUGGAACUGAAGAAAUACUGUUGAACGUAAUUAACCUACAUUAAAUACAAUGUUUAAGAAGG